CGGAGUAUAGCUCAGUUGGCCAGAGCGCUUGCAUGGGGUGCAAGAGGUCGCCCGUUCAAGUCGGGUUACUCCGA
rnacentral:tRNA from 1 species